UGGGGAAUAUUGGACAAUGGGCGAAAGCCUGAUCCAGCCAUGCCGCGUGUGUGAAGAAGGUCUUCGGUUUGUAAAGCACUUUAAGUUGGGAGGAAGGGCAGUAAGCGAAUACCUUGCUGUUUUGACGUUACCGACAGAAUAAGCACCGGCUAACUCUGUGCCAGCAGCCGCGGUAAUACAGAGGGUGCAAGCGUUAAUCGGAUUUACUGGGGGUAAAGCGCGCGUAGGUGGUUCGUUAAGUUGAAUGUGAAAGCCCCGGGCUCAACAUGGGAACUGCAUCCAAAACUGGGGAGCUAGAGUAGGGCAGAGGGGGGUGGAAUUUCCUGUGUAGCGGUGAAAUGCGUAGAUAUAGGAAGGAACACCAGUGGCGAAGGCGACCACCUGGGCUCAUACUGACACUGAGGUGCGAAAGCGUGGGGAGCAAACAGG
rnacentral:rRNA from 1 species